GUGCAUGUACUCUCUGGAACCCAGUUUCCUAAUCUGCAAUGAGAAAGGAAAUAGAAGUCGUGAAGUCUGAGACGUUACUGGGAACGUUACCUGAGAACUCGGGGGAGCGCUUAGCUCAGCACCUGCUGCCCAGUGUCUGAGACUAUUGCCAUCUCUGUCUUUAUCAAUGGGCCCCGGACCCAAUUCUGAGGUCUUGGAUAGACGCCCUUUCUUCCUUCCCCAGCCUGCUCUUCGCCCUCCCCUUUCCCUCCUAACAGACUGUGAUAAAAAUCUGGUCCCUCAUGUCUGUGGAGUAUUUUUAAGCUAGAAAGAGCAUCUGGUGUUUUCUGCGUGUUCUCACCUCCCCUUCCUCCCCUCCCCGCCCCCUUCCUUUCUAUAUUUGACCUAAAUAGGACCACUCACCCUACUACAGAGAGAACAUCCAUUCUGUGCCAGAGGAAGAGACUUCCACGGCCCACCUGGUGCUGCUGGACCCACAGUAACUCUACAUACACCAGUCUUUGCAGCAUGGCGACGGACGUGUGGUCUUGACUUACAAGUCUCAGGAGAAAGGUAACUGCCUUUACCUGGGCCUCUGUCGGAGUAGCCGCGUGCCACUUCCUGGAGCUAUUGCUGGUCCCUAAGAUGGCCCACCGGGCUCCCUCCAGCCUCAAGCACCAGGGUAAAGGACACCAACGGAUCUCACUGUUCCAGAUGAUGCAGCAGAAAAGCACAUCAAAGCCAUGGGAGUGAGACAAGGCCAAAUCACUCAUUCUGCAAAGAGCCAUCGAGCAGAGCAGCUGCUUUGCCCAGCCUGCGCGGCAUGGUCCUGCGCAGCCCACAGCCCCUGGAACACAGGGGUUUUAUUGGGGGGAACUUGCUGCACAUCCUAGCUAAUAGUUAUUCGGUGCUCAGUAGAUGCCAAGUGUGUUAUAAGCACAAUGAGCAAGCCCAAGACAGAUAAGAUCUUUGUCCUCGUGUAGCUUGUUUUAUUAAAAUGGUUCUUCUGCACAUACUUUCCUCUGCUUUUUUUAAAGGCAUAAUUUGCAUUAAAAUUCAUCUUUUUAAAUGUA